GGAAUCUUGGGCCCCCUGACAAAAAAUUAAAUUGGGCCCCCUGCCCCGCGCAGCUGCUGUUACAAUUUCUUGAGUCUAUCUGACCCAUCAAAAGCGUCACAAUCUCAAAGGCUUGGAACUGCCUUGCUUUCUUUGGUCCACUGCUG